ensembl:lncRNA
UUUUUUUUUUUUUUUUUUUGAGAUGGAGCUUCACUCCUUUGCCCGGGCUGGAGUGAAGUGGCGCGAUCUCGGUUCACUGCAACCUCUGCCCCCAGGUUCAAGUGAUUCUCCUGUCUCAGGCUCCUGAGUAGCUAGGAUUAUAGGCGUCCACCACCACGCUCAGCUCAUUUUUUUGUAUUUUUUAGUAGAGACAGGGUUUCACCGUGUCAGCCAGGAUGGUCUCGAUCUCCUAACCUUGUGAUCUGCCCACCUCGGCCUCCCAAACUGUUGGGAUUACAGGCGUGAGCCACUGUGCCCGGCCCACGCUCGGCUAAUUCUUGUAUUUUCAGUAGAGAUGGGGUUUCACCAUGUUGGCCAGGCUGGUCUCAAACUCCUGACCACAGGUGAUCCACCUGCUUCGGCCUUCCAAAGUGCUAGCAUUACAGGCAUGAGCCACUGCGCCCGGCCCAUUUUUAAUCUUUUAUGUCAUCUUUUUACUGUCUCUUUUCUAUGUUUAGAUACGUUCAGAUACACACAAACUUAACAUUGAAUUACAAUUGCCUACAGUGUUCAGUAUAGUAACACACUGUGCAGGUUUGUCAUCUAGAAGAAAUAGGUCACAUGUAGCCCAGCUGCAUAGUAGGCUAUACUGUCUAGGUUUGUGUAAGCCUAUUACAUGAUGUUCACACAAUGAAAUCACCUAAGGAUGCAUUUCUCAGACCAUGUUCCUGCUAUUAAGUGAUCCAUGACUGUAUUUUACUUUUGAAAAAUAAAAGUCUGUAAAAUUGGCACAAACUCAGUUUUAUGUGAAGAUGUUUUCGUUAACCCACAUAUGAAACAGAUACAGGAGCUGAGACCAACACGUACAGAUGCUCCUCAAUGUACUAAGGGGUUACGUCCGGAUAAACCCAGCGUAAGCUGAAAAUACUGUAGUAGCAAACGCAUGGCUGAGAGGCGCCCAGCAUCCACGAGAGAAGUACAGUUUCUAUUGAAUGCGUGUGGCUUUCAUAGCAUCGUGAAGCUGAAAAAUCCUAAAUUGAACCACAGUAAGGUAGGGACCAUCUGUAUUGAAAAUAUAUUUUCAAAAUUUCGUUCUCAAUAUAUGGCUUGUGUGUGAUCCAGUAAAAUGAAUGCUAUGACCACAGAAAGUCCCUCUGGCCUGGCCCAGUGCACCUCACCUACAGCCACUACCACCACCCUGGCCCUGAGAAAUCUUCCUGCUGCCCUGGCUUCCCUUCCUCCGAGCCGCUGCCCACUCACACCUGAUUUGACACAUCUCCCUCCUGGACUCUGAGCUCCCUGAGGGCAGAAACCAGUUCUUUUCAUCUUCGUAGCCCUAAUACAUAUGCACAGUGGGGGCUUGAUAAAUGUUUUAUGAAUGAGUGAGCCUCACCACCUGUGCUUAGAAAACCUAAGGGCAGAAUUCCUCAGAUACCAAACCUGCACUGGCUUUUACUAAGGUCUUUCACUGUGUGCAUUUCUUCUGAAUCUCUAAGAAAAACAAAUGACAAAUAGUUGAUUUUCUUUGAACUGUUUCAUAGGAUUCUCUGAGUGAUUCAGAUAUGAGGUUGGCCUGAUUUGACAUCAAUAUCUUCCUAGGUUGUAAUUCUGAGACAUACAUUCAGAGAGUGAGGACACAGAACAAUAUGGAAAUGCAUUUGGCUCAUUAUAUGAGACAUCUAAUAUUCCAAAUCAUUCUAGCCUCUGUAUUUUAUUUAUUUAUUACCAUGUUUCUCAGAGAUGGCGUCUUGCUCUGUUGCCCAGGCUGGACUGCAGUGGUGCAAUCUCGGCUUACUGCAACCUUUGCCUCCCAGGUUCAAGCAAU